UUUCCGUAGGUGAACCUGCGGAAGGAUCAUUCAUAAUAAAGUGUUUUAUGGCACUUUUUAAAAAUCCAUAUCCACCUUGUGUGCAAUGUUAGAUCUCGUCAAUCUUGGCGAGAUUUUUAUACAUCAACUCAUUCUUUAACUAAUUUGUCUGAAAAAUAUUAUGAAUACUUAAUUCAAAAUACAACUCUCAACAACGGAUCUCUUGGCUCUCGCAUCGAUGAAGAACGAGC
rnacentral:misc_RNA from 1 species